rnacentral:misc_RNA from 1 species
GAUGAAGAACGUAGCGAAAUGCGAUAAGUAAUGUGAAUUGCAGAAUUCAGUGAAUCAUCGAAUCUUUGAACGCACAUUGCGCCCGCCAGUAUUCUGGCGGGCAUGCCUGUCUGAGCGUCAUUUCAACCCUCAUGCCCCUAGGGCGUGGUGUUGGGGAUCGGCCAAAGCCCGCGAGGGACGGCCGGCCCCUAAAUCUAGUGGCGGACCCGUCGUGGCCUCCUCUGCGAAGUAGUGAUAUUCCGCAUCGGAGAGCGAUGAGCCCCUGCGGUUAAACCCCCAACUUUCCAAGGUUGACCUCAGAUCAGGUAGGAAUACCCGCUGAACUUAAGCAUAUCAAUAAGCGGAGGA